rnacentral:rRNA from 1 species
ACGGGUGAGUAAUGCCUAGGAAUCUGCCUGGUAGUGGGGGACAACGUUUCGAAAGGAACGCUAAUACCGCAUACGUCCUACGGGAGAAAGCAGGGGACCUUCGGGCCUUGCGCUAUCAGAUGAGCCUAGGUCGGAUUAGCUAGUUGGUGAGGUAAUGGCUCACCAAGGCGACGAUCCGUAACUGGUCUGAGAGGAUGAUCAGUCACACUGGAACUGAGACACGGUCCAGACUCCUACGGGAGGCAGCAGUGGGGAAUAUUGGACAAUGGGCGAAAGCCUGAUCCAGCCAUGCCGCGUGUGUGAAGAAGGUCUUCGGAUUGUAAAGCACUUUAAGUUGGGAGGAAGGGUUGUAGAUUAAUACUCUGCAAUUUUGACGUUACCGACAGAAUAAGCACCGGCUAACUCUGUGCCAGCAGCCGCGGUAAUACAGAGGGUGCAAGCGUUAAUCGGAAUUACUGGGCGUAAAGCGCGCGUAGGUGGUUCGUUAAGUUGGAUGUGAAAUCCCCGGGCUCAACCUGGGAACUGCAUUCAAAACUGUCGAGCUAGAGUAUGGUAGAGGGUGGUGGAAUUUCCUGUGUAGCG